GAUUAACGCUAGCGGCAGGCAUAAUACAUGCAAGUUGAACGGGAUAAGCUUUAGCAAUAGAGCUUUGAGAGUGGCGCACGGGUGCGUAACACGUAUGCAACCUGCCCCAAACAGGGGGAUAGCCUCUCGAAAGAGAGAUUAAUACCCCAUAACAUGUUGGUGUGGCAUCACACUGAUAUUAAAGCUGAGGCGGUUUGGGAUGGGCAUGCGGUUGAUUAGGUAGUUGGUGAGGUAACGGCUCACCAAGCCAACGAUCAAUAGGGGGUCUGAGAGGAUGUCCCCCCACACUGGUACUGAGACACGGACCAGACUCCUACGGGAGGCAGCAGUAGGGAAUAUUGGACAAUGGGGGCAACCCUGAUCGAGCCAUGCCGCGUGCAGGAAGACUGCCCUAUGGGUUGUAAACUGCUUUUGUACGGGAAGAAACCUUCGAAUGCGUUCGGAGUUGACGGUACCGUGAGAAUAAGGAUCGGCUAACUUCGUGCCAGCAGCCGCCGUAACAC
rnacentral:rRNA from 1 species